rnacentral:rRNA from 1 species
AACGAACGCUGGCGGCAUGCCUAACACAUGCAAGUCGAACGAGACCUUCGGGACAAGUGGCUCACGGGUGCGUAACGCGUGGGAACCUGCCCUUAGGUUCGGAAUAACUCCCCGAAAGGGGUGCUAAUACCGGAUAAUCUCCUCGGAACAAAGAUUUAUCGCCUUUGGAUGGGCCCGCGUUGGAUUAGCUAGUUGGUAGGGUAAAAGCCUACCAAGGCGACGAUCCAUAGCUGGUCUGAGAGGAUGAUCAGCCACACUGGGACUGAGACACGGCCCAGACUCCUACGGGAGGCAGCAGUGGGGAAUAUUGGACAAUGGGCGAAAGCCUGAUCCAGCAAUGCCGCGUGAGUGAUGAAGGCCUUAGGGUUGUAAAGCUCUUUUACCCGGGAUGAUAAUGACAGUACCGGGAGAAUAAGCUCCGGCUAACUCCGUG